UCACACACCCUCAAGCAUUAACUGCCAGGGGCGUGCGCACACACGAGGGGGCAAGGACCCUGCCCUUUCUUGUCAAAAUGGCCUUUAAAACACCCUCGUGGGACAUUUUCAUGCUUCGUUUAUGUCUUGAUGUCACAUCAAAAGGACAGUUAAGGAGACAUUAGUGCCCUCUGUUCAGUCCCCAGUGUGUGCCUCUCAUGUCAGAGUCAGAGAUUUUCCUAAAAGUACAUAUCCGGUGUGCAUAACACAGAGAACACAAAACUUCCUGCUGUUCUGAAGACUCUUCGAACCACCUGGAUGAAGAUAUAUUCCAUCUGCUGCACGAUAAAAAACAUCUCCAAACGGCUGGUACUGUAUUUUGUAAUCCAGGUAGCUGGAAAUUACAUUAGUUUUAAAACCCAAGCAAAAUAUGAACGCGUUACUUUGUAUGAAAAUAUUAAAUAUCGGAAGGUAACAUCAAAAUACACAAAAAAAUAACCGAUUUUAAUUUGGGUUCAUGUUGCACACAUUUAGCAUGAAAAUAUGUCAUUUCCGGCCACCAUCUUUGUUUAAAUUUGGUAAAACAGGCACUUCAGAACAGCGGUCAGUUAAACUAUGUUCUCGGUUUUUCAAAUAUCACAUAUUAUACACACACAUUAUAUCAUAUACAUAUAUAUAUAUAUAUAUGCUGCUUAGUUCUGUGACUCAGGCACAAACUGGGGCUAUGCUCAUGGCACUUUUUCAACAGCAGAGCUUUUCCAAGAACCUUUUCAGGACCUGCGUCUCAACCUGCGUAACUUCCCCCCUGUGCCCCGGGCCGCAGUGCCCUCGUUACAUCAGUCUGCGUGUCGAGGUUUCAGAGCGUGCAGGGACAGAUGUGUAAAUAUCACAGUGGGGAUCUCACACGCCCGGCUGUCACUGUUCUCUGCAGCUGCUGACAGAUUCGCAAAACCUGAGAGUCUUUGAGGAUUCCUGUCAGCAGCUUCUGACUCGCCUGCAGGACACACCCAUAAUCUGCUCUUAGAAGCAUGUCUGCGAUCACAGACUGAAAUCUCUUGACAAAUACAUAAGACAAGACUGAAUACAUAUAAAGUAAGCAAUAAUGCACAACAAGAGUCCUGAUAUAUGGAAAUAAUCAGGGCACUUAAGAGUACAUUAUUGCUUUAAUGCCACGGCUGCUUACAAAAACAUAAAAAUAAAAGGUAGGCUGUGUUUAAAUCAUCCCUCAAGUGUGUUUGUAGACACAGAAAUAGUAUGGAGUGUAACGUUUUUGUCGAACAGCUAUAGCUAUAAUGUUUAUAGAUAAUAUAGAUUUAAUUGUAAUUUGUGUAACCUAUGUUCAUUUUGUCUAUAGAUCUUUUGUCUAUUUGUGCUGAUUAAUAUACAAAUCAGUUGCAUGUUUGCAUUUACCUGGGGAUGAAAAUGUAAUGGAUUCUAAAUAUAAAUCGUCCCUAUUGUUUUAAACACUGUACAGCUCUUUUCAUUUUAAAAACGGAUAUAUUUCACAUAUUUUUUAUUGUGAAUUUGCACCAAAAUACCAAGGCAAACUCCUCGUGCGUGAAAACCUACUUGUCAAUAAACCUGUUUCUGAUUCUGACAAACCCUUCGCCUUAAAUGAAUCGUUAAAUGUACAGUCAAUUAAAGUGUAUUCAACUCAAAACAUCCUCGCCCAUGUUUCUGCGCGCUUUCAAGUCUCGACAUACUGCACACCUGGUUCACUGCUUCAGUUGGAAGUAUUGUCAAUCUAUCAGUGAACAAACUAAAUGUAAUUUAAGAGCAAAUCACAUUAAAUUGUAUGUUUUAAGCUGUAAACAGCAAUUAAUAUAAUGCGUUUCCGUCUUUUGUGUGUGUGUGUGGGUGAUGUGUCUCUUUCUACUGCAGGUACAGCCAGUGAGUUCUCAGGACACACCUCAACCAGUGAUGUCAUGCCAAGGCAGAGGAGCCCAGAACGAACCAGGAGACGCAGACCAAAAGUACACUAAAGGACAUAAACAGUGGUGUCCACAUACUUUUGUCAGUGUAAGAUUCAGAUCGUGUUUCUGUGGCAUCAUCUAGUGGCACAAAUGUGAACUGCAGACAGGAGGAAUUUGGCACAAUGGAGGUUUUCUGAGGACAAAGCUGUUUUUUUUUUUCAUUUUCAUCCGUGACAUGUUUUUCAUUUCAGCGAUAGCGUGAUAAAACCUGUGCAAAGAGUGAGAAAAACAGUCAGUGAUCACAGGAGGAAGGAGGGACGAUGGCAGUUAGAGGUGUGAUGAAGACGCAGACAGAUCAGACUGAUAAAGUGUGUUUCAUUUACUGAAAUGUUCCUGUGGUGGCUUUUAUCUCGUUCUGGAUCUGAGGCAUUUGCAACUGCAGUUUUGCACAAAGAUAUUAAUUAAAAUUAGAAGGCCCCUGGUUUGAUCCUCACAACUUUCCCACAAGACUAUCCCGUUCAAACAGGUGGAUCAUGCUUUAAUUAUUUAUUUAUUUAUUUAUUUUUUUUUCUGUUUAUGUGUCUGGAACAAAAUUACCAUGAAUGAAAAUCCACCAAAAGUAGAACAAUAGUCCAUGUCAUUUAAAAUGAUGUGGGAUUAAGCUUAAUGUUAAAAUUAAAAUUUUCUGAGAAAACCCUCAGUGUAAAGAGGAAUUAUUUCAGAUUUAACUCUGUAACAAUGAAUUUGUCCUCCCCAACACCAGAAAUAAAGUCUCUAAAAUGUUUAAUUUAUUAGUUAGCUGUUAAAUACUUUUAUUAUUUUAUUUCGAUUUAUCUUUUAUUACUUUCUCCUAGUUUUAUUUUUAUGUAUCAGUUCCUUUAAUGAGCGUUCUUCAACAUCUGCUUAUAUUUCUAACUAAAAUAAUCAGAACUUUGUCUCUGAUUUGUCUAUAUUCAUCUGUUCAUAUUUAUCUGUUUUACCGCCUGUAAAAUAAAACAUGGCCAUUUUAUUUUCCAACAUGAAGGUGUCAAGGUUUUUUUUCGUUAUUUCCUGUUUUAUUUUGUAACACUCUCCCUCUCUCUCGUGUCUGUUAGUUUUGCUUCCUGUCGUUGAUUGUUCUGAGUGUUUUCACCUGUGUCGUUGGUUUCACCUGUGUCUCGUCGUCUCCCUCUCCUAAGUCUGUGUCUUCCUUAAUUCUUUGUCAGUUCGUCCUCGUUGCCAUGUUGGUUUUGGCUUCUCUGAUGUUGCACUUUUAGCUGCCUGUAUCUCCCAGUAAGCUCUAUUUAAUCAUUUAACCAUCAUGCUGCCUCCUGUGUCUGCAUUUGGGUCCUUUCCUGUUCACCAACAACGUAACACGACACGUGACAUGGAGACUGCAGAUCAUUUAAGGGGUCGCCACAAGGAAACAACAGUCUGUGCAAAUAGUGCAUUUUCAUCAGGACACAGUGCUUAAAGCCAGACAGAGGAAAGACGGGACAGGUGAGGGUUUCUCAGCCUCUACAGCCCAGGUGAGAGGAAAAUGAGGUGACUGUUUCAAGGCCCAUUUACACCUGGUAUGAAUCCAUGUGCACUGUAUGUCUGUGUUCACACUAGAAACAGUAACUCUGAAACCAUCUGAAACAAUAACUAUAUCCACAUGUCUGGUUUUUAAAUUCAGUUAUUUUGAUUUCACAGAAAAUAUCUUUAAACCAUUUCCGUUCAGAUUGACUUCAUGCUGAUUAUCUAAUCUUUCUUUGUAGGGUGAAUUCAGUUUUCCGUUGUCUUUAUAGUUUCUGGGGGUUUAUGUUACAGUUUAACUGGCUGGUAUUGCACAGAACAGCUAACAUGAAUGUUUUGUUUGCCUUUUCAGACUACAGUACUUGGUUAAUUGUGGGGGAAGCUGCAAAUAUUCAUCACAAAGAUUAAAAACAUGCACUGGAGCAGGAGGUAGAAACACAGGGAGGUAGAGAGGAAAAUUCAAAAGAAGAGUACACUUAAAAGUCCCAUUUUCCAUAAAUAACAGCAGAGAAGUUUCAGACACACAACUUCUAGACAGGCACACUGUUUAGCAUCAAUAAUGUCCAUGGCAUUAAAGGCAACCAUUCAGCUUGCAGGGUUCAUGCUUUUAUCUGUAAUGUUUAAUGGCAACAAGCUGCUGUCAGCUAGCGUAUCAUCUCAUGGUUUUUUUUUUUGGUAAAAUUUAUAGCACAAAACCACGUCAUGCAGAUCACUUACAGACCAACAAGGAAGACACUGAGGAAUACUGACGCUGCGUUCCAGAAAUAUCAGAGAACCAGAAGGAAACGCAACCACAAGGUUUUUUUUUUUUUUUUAAAAUACAAAUUCUGAUGAUCUGAUGUCAACAUGGCGUUUACAAUGUGAAGGCUACACACCAUUGUUUAACUUUUUAAAUAACUGGUAAACUUGAAUUUGAUGUUUAGUGUAGCUUUGAGGUUUUAUAGUACUAAUCAAGAUCUUAAACCUGCCACUGGGGGGCAGCAGAAACAAACUGGAAACUGACACGAUCAUUUUUAAGUUGAUAUGGUGAACUUGCAAAGCUAAGGGUUGCUUAUUUACACAUUCAGCAGAGACAGAGCGACAUUAGCAUUCAUGUGGAGUUGUGUUUCUGGCCAUCUGGCAAAUGUAAUAUGAAAGGUGCCACUCAUAGUGACGAACACACAACACUACUGUGCGUUUUUAGCAUAUUUAAGCUCUUCAUUUUGGUUUUACACCACAGUUGUUUUGAUUUAGUCUCAGUGAUCAGUUGUUUCCAGAUGUAGUGAGCAGCUGUUUUCAGCAAAAGAGCUUUAAAAAACCACUGAACACGAGCUGCUCAUCAGCAAACAGCUGACCGACACAGUCAGAGAGCAGCUGGUGAACAUAGUGGAGCGUUUAGCAGCUGAAGAGCCGGAUAUUUCCCUCAGGAGCUGCUGGAGACCAAACACAGAGCUGACGGAGAGAAGACCGGACUGCCGUCCAUCAGGUGACACAAACACGCCUCCACAUGAAGGAUCAUGUUGCUGCACGUCUGCUGGUUGUGUAAAUAGGCAACUGUUUGCUAACAAGUUCACCCCAACAACUUUUAUAAAAUGUCAAAAUUAUGUUUUCAGUUGGCAAAAAAAAAAAAUCAAUUGAGUCUUUAAAUGUACAGAAACAUCCGGGAGCUAAAGGUGUAAUAAAAUUUGCACUUAUAGCCGCUAAAACUUUACUUAACAAACCAAUAUUCAAUAAAAGUCGUCUGUUGCUUAAGAAUUUCCGCCUUCUGACAGCGAAUGAAACGCAGUAUUGUAAUCUUAUCAUGCAGGAAUCUGUGGGUUAUGUAGUUAAAAAAAAUAAGAACAGUAACGCUUUAUUCAAGUCUGUACUUUCUUGGCAGUUUCCUGGAAAGGAUAAUUACUUGUACACACUUUCAGGUAUUCAUUCUGAAUAACUACUAGUGUAAUUUCAAGACUGUCAGUGCACAGCAGGUCAGCUAAACAUGCAAACGUGUAAAAUCUGUCUACAGGCAAAAUACAAUUUAACUAUUAUAUGCAGAAGAAAGUUUCCAAAAAUAAAUGACUAACAAAUGAAUAUUUACUUUACUAAUUACAGCAGUUUGUUUCCCAGGAACUUACAGACGUAAAAUAAAGCAUAACCAUAGGAACUACAGAUCAGAGCAUAAAAACAGGUCACUUAAGGCUUAAUGUAGAAUCCACAGUAUGAGGAAUGUAAAUGAAUGUAUGUACUGCAUUAACAUCAGGCUACGCUCUCAUCUUUGGCACUUGUGAUUUCCUGUUUGACAUAAAUAUUAAAGCAGGGGUUCAGAGACGAGUUUAAAAUGGCUGGAGACGUCCGACAGCCCCAUCCGGCUCUUCAUCCCCACCUCUGCACUGCUGUCUUCGCUAAAGUAUCUUUUGGUGUCUUUUCAAACAGUCCUCUCUCAACACAGAGUCAGAGCUGUGUUUGCCGGCCUCGGACGUUGCAUAGUGUUGUUGGAGAGUGAAGAAGCGAGCCAUUUUAAAAAGAGGAGAGAUCAGAGUAAUAGUUUGGUGGCGAGAGGCCAGGAGGAGGCGUGUCAGACCUCAGAGCUGAUCACUUCAAUUUUUCCUUUACUACUUCUUGUAAACACGAGGCUCGGGUUGUCAGCGCUCCGUCUGCUGGUCUGCUCCUCUCCAUGUUUGUAUGUGUGUUGCAUCUGUUUAAAACAAUGUACUGUGUGUACAUAUCAGUUCUGAGAGUCUCCAUGUUUUUCCAAUGAUACUGUGUCUGUUUGUAUCUGUGUGAUAUUUUAGUGAGUGUAAUGUUGUUCAUGUGCAUUCAGUGGCACUGCUGGUACAGAGGCUUUGUCACAACCACAGCUGACACCAUUUUGGAAGUCGUUUUGGCUGCUAAUGCUACAGUAAACAGUAAAACAGUGAA